CCAACGGGGAUGCCCGGAGGGGGUUGCCACCCUCCCUGGCUCUGUCCAAGUGGCAUAUGGGAGUGUAGGGCUCGCCCCUCGACGUACAGGCCCGUUCCGCUCUGUUGGAGAUCAAGCCGGGCCUCGUGUCUGUGCCUGCAUAUUCCUACUGCUUCUCUGAGUCCCCGGGCCUUGUAGAGAAGGAAUGUGUCUAUUU